rnacentral:lncRNA from 1 species
UUGAUGUAUUGUAGGCUAUUAGCGAUUGAAUUUCACUCAAAACUCACCAAAUAACUCCUCCCACCAUAUUUUAAUGUUGCCCAAGUUUUGGGUACAAUACGAUAUCGAUUGGUCAAACCAAUUGGACAAUUCAAGUUCGUACGAAGUUCGUUCCGUAAAUGGCGUGUUUAGUGUAUCGUGUAGUUUUAGCAGUUGAAUUUCACUCAAAAAG